UCAUGGUCCGGGUACUUCGACUGUUCGACAGUACAUAAGGCCCGUUAUUUUCGACUUGUUGGUGUCACGCUCCGAAGUUAUGCAGCCAAUGAAGUAGGAGUGCGAACCCAGGGAAUUAGCGCCAUCCCGUCCACACCAUCUAGCGAAGAAGGAAACAAAUACGAAAUGCUGCCAUCUAGCAAUAAAAAAAGAAAGGCUUACUCGGAAGUAACGGAGCAAUAAGUAGAAACCAACAUGGCCGCGACCGGCGUGGUGCGAACUGUGAAGUGUUGUCGCAUUUCUUAAGAUUUGUCGUUCUGUCGUUCUCUUAACUACAUGUGACUUAUUUUCAUUGCACUGAAUAACUCCCAAGAUGUUAUUUUAUCCAGUCUUUCAGUAACUAAGCUUAGAAAAUUGCCAGUGGAACAUGUGAUUAGGAGCAAGAGUUGGAAUGAAGAAUAGUUCAACAGGCCUACAAGUGUCCAUGGAUACCUUUUAUAUUUCAGAUGGACAACUCUGACAACAAGGAUUUUUUGGGAGUUGCUGUUGAUUUCCAUGUCCGACACAAUUUCUCAGAAAUUAAUUACUUGAUACACCAGUCUUCAAUGAUUAGUAGAUUUGAUAAAUAACAACGGCAAUACCGAUAAACCCUUGGCAUUCAUUUGUUCCCGAUGAACGGCACUAUCUAUUACCCAUUAAAAAUGUAGGUAAUUCACUAACCUUUUAAAACAAGAUAAAAGCUUUUUAAGGUGAAUAAAAACAAUAACAUGAGGAAUGCGGAUCAAAAACAGUGUUGGAGUAAAAUGUUGGAUUUGUCAUUGAAGUUGGAUAGAAAGGAGGAGAGUAAUCCCAGUUGUUCCAGUAGUAGGAGGAAUAGUCUUGCUGCUGUGGUUGCUGCUCCGUUCGGAAUCCAUUCGAGUUAUUGAAGUUGGACUGGGGACUUACGACGUGUUGUGGACAGCUGGUAGCAAGCCAUUCGGAUUGAAGUGGAGACGACGAUGAUGAUCCGGACGUGGAGUAGUUGAUUGGUUCCACGGGUGGAACUGCCGGAGGAUCCGAAUAAAAUACAGGAGUUGGAAGGACUUGAGUUGAAACGGACGUACCAUGUUGACGUUGGCGAGAGACGUAAGGUGAUGAUCGACGAUGUUGGCAAUUUGUUUCGCAAGUUGAAGUUGCCGUUCUUGAAGAUCCAAGUUGGCGGACACGUCGACGGCGAUUCUGAAACCACCACUGAUGCAAUCAAGAGGAAAAAUUAAUUUCAGAAACUCCAAUCAGCUGGGCGAUGCGUCGACGACCUUCUCGAUUGGGAAACGGAUCUCUGUUGAAUUCUGCGUCGAGUACCUCCAGCUGGACCUCGUCGUAAAAGUGGCGCUGACGACCUGAUGCUGAAGCAGACUUCGUAGUGAAACCAACUGGAUAAUAAUCUGAAAAUUAUCCAGGCGGAAGUACUCAAUGAGUCAAUGGUCAUUGCUUUCCAGGAUCAACAGCUUAUUGGAAGAUUUUUUUAGGUAUUAACCUUGCGGUGUUUCUUCUCGUCUUUGCCAGCAUCAGAUAAUCCAAAAUAUCCAGCCAGCUCAGCGUUUGACUUCUCAAAGGCUUCGUUUUCACCUUCCUCCCGCGGCAAAACCAUUCGGUGCCGUAAGUUAGGACUACAGUGACCCAACGACACCAGCCCCUUGAAGGUGGUAGUAUCGCCGCUAAAGUGCAACUAUAGAAAAUUUCAUGGCCAAGACGAACCUGCCGCCACACCGGCACUUCCUCGAUGGUAUAAGAAGCCAGUUAUUGCAGAACGAAGUGGUUUAUAAGCUUUCCGGAUCCAGGUGCCAGGGGUGUCUGUACUGACGUAGUGACGUCACAUAGACUUGCUGAAGGUCUCCGUUUAUUUCUCUGACCAACCUGGUAAAGUCUGAGCUCCUUCGUUGCUGCCCAACGUGCACAUGGAUUUGAUGUAGCCAGAUGGUUAAAGGUGUUCCUGGACUGUGUAAAGGGAAAAUGAUUGAACACAAGAUAGUCUUAGAUGCAUCUAGUUUCAUGUAAAUUUUGUUUCAACAAUAGCUUUCAGUUGCUGUCCGAUGUGGGACGUUGUUGCAGCCAAUGCUGGUGAAAGAUCUUUUUGCAUAAUAUUAAACUGACUGUUCUUUGGUGCUGGUGUCGUGUUACCGAAGUUGCAUCAUUAUUUUGUUUAAUUGUUAUUGGGUCUGCAGUUUAUCGUUUACAUGUUAAGAGGGAACAAAAACAGAAAUAUGGGGAAUUCAUGUCAAACAAAUAAUAAACAUGCUUUGGGGAUUGGGAAAGGAACAUAGAGGAUGUUGGGAAUUUAUAAAAAAGUUGAGGUUUGUUGUAAAAAAAUAUCACCUGAAUGUUAGGCAAUGAUUAAAACCAUAACUUAUGAUCCCACCAACAAGGCAAUAUUCCCCUUCAUAUUUUUCAAUCCCAUAACAUAUACCUACAUAUAAUUUUCCACACCCCUAUAAUCCCACCAAUAAAUACCUACCAUUUCUCAAAUUCGUGUCCACGUAACUCUUGCAAUGUGCAAAAUGUUCAUAAUAAACAAUAAAUCAUCUUUAUUUU